AAGAUUCACUAAGCGCCAGAGCUUGAUCGCUACGGAGAAAUUAGAUCAAGCUGACGAGGUGGAGGUGUUCGAAUGUUCGGCGGGGGCCUCCCGGUGACGCAUCAAACCGUGAAGCAGAAUUUAAAAGUAGAGAGUGAUCUCUGCGACAAAGAUUCUGUUUGGUGCAUAU
rnacentral:ncRNA from 2 species